rnacentral:rRNA from 1 species
UAAUACGUAGGGGGCAAGCGUUGUCCGGAUUUAUUGGGCGUAAAGAGCGUGUAGGCGGCCAGAUAGGUCAGCUGUGAAAACUCGAGGCUCAACCUCGAGAUGUCGGCUGAAACCAUCUGGCUAGAGUCCGGAAGAGGAGAAUGGAAUUCCCGGUGUAGCGGUGAAAUGCGCAGAUAUCGGGAAGAACACCCGUGGCGAAGGCGGUUCUCUGGGACGGUACUGACGCUGAGACGCGAAAGCGUGGGGAGCGAACAGGAUUAGAUACCCUGGUAGUCCACGCCGUAAACGAUGGGAACUAGGUGUGGGCGGUGUCGACUCCGUCCGUGCCGAAGCUAACGCAUUAAGUUCCCCGCCUGGGGAGUACGGCCGCAAGGCUA